rnacentral:rRNA from 1 species
AUUGCAGUCUGCAACUCGACUGCAUGAAGCUGGAAUCGCUAGUAAUCGCGGAUCAGAAUGCCGCGGUGAAUACGUUCCCGGGUCUUGUACACACCGCCCGUCACACCAUGGGAGUCGGAUAUGCCCGAAGUCAGUGACCCAACCGCAAGGAGGGAGCUGCCGAAGGUGGAGCCGAUGACUGGGGUGAAGUCGUAACAAGGUAAC